GACGAACGCUGGCGGCGUGCUUAACACAUGCAAGUCGAACGGUGAAGCGCCUUCCUUUUUGGUGGGUGUGGAUGAGUGGCGAACGGGUGAGUAACACGUGAGUAACCUGCCCCCUUCUUCUGGAUAACCGCAUGAAAGUGUGGCUAAUACGGGAUAUUCUGGGUCUGUCGCAUGAUGGGUCUGGGAAAGAUAUUGUUUCGGUGGGGGAUGGGCUCGCGGCCUAUCAGCUUGUUGGUGGGGUGAUGGCCUACCAAGGCGGUGACGGGUAGCCGGCCUGAGAGGGUGGGCGAUCACACUGGGGAUGAAGCGCGGCCCAGACUCCUGCGGGAGGCAGCAGUGGGGAAUAUUGCACGAUGGGCGCAAGCCUGAUGCAGCGACGCCGCGUGAGUGAUGGAGGCCUUCGGGUUGUGAACUUCUUUCGCCAGUGAAGCAGGCCUGCCUCGUUUGUGGGUGGGUUGACGGUAGCUGGAUAAGAAGCGCCGGCUAACUACGUG
rnacentral:rRNA from 1 species